rnacentral:rRNA from 1 species
UACCUGGUUGAUCCUGCCGUAGUCAUAUGCUUGUCUCA